GUGUCAGCAGCCGCGGUAAUACGGAGGUGGCAAGCGUUGCUCGGAUUCACUGGGUGUAAAGGGCAAGUAGGCGGCUCUAUAAGUCGGGUGUGAAAUGCCACGGCUCAACCGUGGAACUGCGCCCGAUACUGUAGGGCUUGAGGACAACAGAGGCGAACGGAAUUCUCGGUGUAAGGGUGAAAUCUGUAGAUAUCGAGAGGAACACCAGUGGCGAAGGCGGUUCGCUGGGUUGUCCCUGACGCUGAGAGGCGAAAGCUAGGGGAGCAAACAGGAUUAGAAACCCCAGUAGUCC
rnacentral:rRNA from 1 species